rnacentral:lncRNA from 1 species
AUCCUAAAAAUUCCCAAUAUAUAAACCUAACCCGAACCAACCAAAGCUAAUCCGGACCAACCAAACGUAAACUAAACGAAAAUAUUUAGAUUGAAAUAUGUUUAUGAUCAAUUCGUUCUUUUAUUUAGAAACAGAUAAACCCAAAGCUAACUCUAUUGUAAGAACUGCCAAAAAAAACCAGAAUUUAUUAAAAUUUGAUAUAUAUUACAUUAUAUAUUACUAAAUAAUUCCCAUCGAAGAUAAUUAUUAAUAUAUAUUUUUCAGUUGAUUUUCCUUUUUUUUUAAUCGGCCAACCAAAAACCAAAUUAAAUUGUAUCAUACCAAAUCGAAACAAACCAAGUGGCAAAUAGUUUUGGUUAUGUUUAGGUUUCCAUAUAUAACAAACAAAAAAAAAAAAAACUUAACCAAACCAAAUCAAAAACCGGAAAAAGGAACAAACCCAAAAACAACAUAAGCAUAACUACACCUUAAGAAAAAUGAUCUAAAUAAAUCAAAGAACUACAAAUGAUUAAUCAAACUGCGAAUAGUAUAAGCAUUUUCUUUCAUCAUAAAAAUAUAGAAAAAGAACUGACCAUG